UACGUAGGGUGCAAGCGUUGCCCGGAUUUAUUGGGCGUAAAGGGCGCGUAGGCGGCUCGGCACGUCCGUUGUGAAAUCGCCCGGCUCAACUGGGCGGGGUCAGCGGAUACGGCCGAGCUUGAGCAAGCUAGGGGGCAAUGGAAUUCCCGGUGUAGUGGUGAAAUGCGUAGAUAUCGUAAGGAAGACCAGUGGCGAAGGCGGGUCUCUGGACAGUUCCUGACGCUGAGGCACGAAGGUCAGGGGAGCAAACGGG
rnacentral:rRNA from 1 species